UACGUAGGGACCGAGCGUUGUCCGGAAUCAUUGGGCGUAAAGAGCGUGUAGGCGGCCUUUUAAGUCCUGCGUGAAAUCCUGCGGCUCAACCGCAGACGGUCGUGGGAAACUGGAAGGCUAGAGUGCGGGAGAGGAGAGUGGAAUUCCGUGGUGUAGCGGUGAAAUGCGUAGAUAUCAGGAGGAAUGACCGGUGGCGAAAAGCGACUGCUCUGGACGGCAACUGACGCUGAGGCACGAAAGCGUGGGGAGCAAACAGG
rnacentral:rRNA from 1 species